rnacentral:rRNA from 1 species
AUUGAACGCUGGCGGCAUGCCUUACACAUGCAAGUCGAACGGCAGCACGGGUGCUUGCCCCUGGUGGCGAGUGGCGAACGGGUGAGUAAUACAUCGGAACAUGUCCUGUAGUGGGGGAUAGCCCGGCGAAAGCCGGAUUAAUACCGCAUACGAUCUACGGAUGAAAGCGGGGGACCUUCGGGCCUCGCGCUAUAGGGUUGGCCGAUGGCUGAUUAGCUAGUUGGUGGGGUAAAGGCCUACCAAGGCGACGAUCAGUAGCUGGUCUGAGAGGACGACCAGCCACACUGAGACUGAGACACGGCCCAGACUCCUACGGGAGGCAGCAGUGGGGAAUUUUGGACAAUGGGCGAAAGCCUGAUCCAGCAAUGCCGCGUGUGUGAAGAAGGCCUUCGGGUUGUAAAGCACUUUUGUCCGGAAAGAAAUCCUUGGCCCUAAUACGGUCGGGGGAUGACGGUACCGGAAGAAUAAGCACCGGCUAACUACGUG